UCUUUUGGCAGUACGAGGAUAGAACCGGGGACCUUUCGGUUCCGAGCCGAAGAUCCUAACCACUAGACAAAAG
rnacentral:tRNA from 13 species